GGCACAAUGACCCAGUGGUUAGAGCAGCGGACUCGCGGUCCUAGGAUUCGCGGUUUCAAUUCUGAGAUCGAAUGUUGUGAGUGUUUAUUGAGCAAAAACAUCUAAAGUUCCAUGAAGCUCCGGCAGGGGUUGGUGGUGAUCCCUGCUGUACUCUUUCACCACAACUUUCUCUCACUCUUUCUUCCUGUU